rnacentral:tRNA from 2 species
GCUCCCGUGGUGUAGUCCGGCCAAUCAUCCCAGCCUUUCGAGCUGGUCACCCGGGUUCAAAUCCCGGCGGGAGCACCA